rnacentral:rRNA from 1 species
UACGUAGGUGGCAAGCGUUGUCCGGAAUUAUUGGGCGUAAAGAGCGUGUAGGCGGCCGUACAGGUCAGCUGUGAAAACUCGAGGCUCAACCUCGAGACGUCGGUUGAAACCGUACGGCUAGAGUCCGGAAGAGGAGAGUGGAAUUCCCGGUGUAGCGGUGAAAUGCGCAGAUAUCGGGAAGAACACCCGUGGCGAAGGCGGCUCUCUGGGACGGUACUGACGCUGAGACGCGAAAGCGUGGGGAGCGAACAGG